rnacentral:rRNA from 1 species
AUUGAACGCUGGCGGCAGGCCUAACACAUGCAAGUCGAGCGGAGCGGCGGACGGGCGAGUAAUGCCUAGGAGUGUGCCUGGUCGUGGGGGAUAACGUCCGGAAAAGGGCGCUAAUACCGCAUACUCUCAGAAGGGCCUAGGUCGGAUUAGCUAGUUGGUGGGGUAAGGGCCUACCUAGGCGACGCACCGUACCUGGGCGGAGAGGAUGAUCAGUCACACUGGAACUGAGACACGGUCCAGACUCCUACGGGAGGCAGCAGUGGGGAAUAUUGGACAAUGGGCGAAAGCCUGAUGCAGCCAUGCCGCGUGUAUGAAGAAGGCCUUAGGGUUGUAAAGUACUUUAAGUCGGGAGGCGUUACCAACAGAAUAAGCACCGGCUAACUCCGUGCCAGCAGCCGCGGUAAUAC